GAUGAACGCUGGCGGCGUGCCUAAUACAUGCAAGUCGAGCGAACAGACGAGGAGCUUGCUCCUCUGACGUUAGCGGCGGACGGGUGAGUAACACGUGGAUAACCUACCUAUAAGACUGGGAUAACUUCGGGAAACCGGAGCUAAUACCGGAUAAUAUCUUGAACCGCAUGGUUCAAUAGUGAAAGACGGUUUUGCUGUCACUUAUAGAUGGAUCCGCGCCGCAUUAGCUAGUUGGUAAGGUAACGGCUUACCAAGGCAACGAUGCGUAGCCGACCUGAGAGGGUUAUCGGCCACACUGGAACUGAGACACGGUCCAGACUCCUACGGGAGGCAGCAGUAGGGAAUCUUCCGCAAUGGGCGAAAGCCUGACGGAGCAACGCCGCGUGAGUGAUGAAGGUCUUCGGAUCGUAAAACUCUGUUAUUAGGGAAGAACAAAUGUGUAAGUAACUAUGCACGUCUUGACGGUACCUAAUCAGAAAGCCACGGCUAACUACGUGCCAGCCGCCGCGGUAA
rnacentral:rRNA from 1 species